AAUGGUUCCCCUAUGGCAGUUAUGUACGGCCGCACACGGAUGAUCUGAGCAGGCCUAUCCGGGUCCUCCAAUACAAUUGUGAUAUCGGUUUCAGAAAUCAUAGCCUCCKCCCUGCCUCCCACUCCAUCUAACGAGCUUGCCACUUUUGCUGGCCAACUCGAUGGCCACAACCACGAGGGCACCCAUUCCACUGCCCCCCCCCCCCGGGGGCAACUCGUACUGGGAAGGCCCCUAUUGGCGCACGAAACUUGAGGCCACGCAGGGCACAUUCGGUCACUAUCAGUUUCCAGUCCGUUAGGGGAAUUUCUUUUCCCCCUCCCGCUUGGGCGGAACCUGCUGCCUCUAAUAGCCCUCUUUGUUUAGCUGCUGCCUCUAAUAGCCCUCUUUGUUUAGCUACUUCCUCUUCCAGAGCUGUAARCAGCAUAAACAUCUGCUCCAUAUCUCUUGUGGCUUUCUUCCCCUUUUUUCCUUCCGCAUCUGACUGCGGCGGGGAGCUCCGCCCUAGUUGCUGCAUUUUCGUCGUUAUUCCUUCUAAGGAGUCAGAGUCUGUGCCUGAGUCUUCAGUCUCCUCCUUCCGCAAUGCUGGUCGACGCCCACUCCUCUCUCGGCCAGCGCCAUCUUUCCCCGGGCGCGGCACCCUCAGUCUCUCCCCUGCUUUUUCCCUUUCUUCGUCUUCCCACUGUACCCGAAUCAUGGCUCCCGGCAGCCAGUCUCGGGGAUCAUCCACUAUAAGCGGUCUUUCCUUUUCUUCUGCCUCUUUCACAUUCACCUUGCUUUCUUUUCCUCUACCCGCCACUGGCUUUUUCAUAUCUCGGUCUCCACAAAGGUCUCCUGGUUCUCYGCCUUCCAUCGCCCUCAUCUCUUUCCACAGGUACCGCGGCGGUGGCGGAGAAGAGGGCAUUAUUGGGAGCCGCCCGAUGCAGUUCUUGACUGCACCCGCUCUCAUGGAGAGCCCCCAUUCCCGGGCACCCACGCGUACAACCUUAACUACCGCGUCCAUGAUCCGGAUCCUCUCGACCGCCUGCGGUCCGCCGUCUCAGCUAUCACGUCGGGGUCACCACUUGUCGCCUUUAAAUGCGACAAUCUCCCGUCCGUCUGAGACGGCACAGAGGCUCCUCCUGCCUCCGGGCCAAUGA
rnacentral:lncRNA from 1 species